rnacentral:lncRNA from 1 species
GAGGGUGAUAGUCUCUUUGGACUGCUCUGUUUUGUCCAAAAUUCCACGAGGUAAGAAUGGAACAAGAUCAUCCAUGAAUUUCGAAUGAUGUCUUGGGUGUAGAGCGAGAGUAUAGAGCUUCCAUAGCCAGUGACAGCUGCGUGAACAAGAUUAUCUCGCACUGCCAAUGCUUGUCCCUUCUCUAUUUCGUCUUAAGAAACCCCAUUGCUUGCUGUUGGCCAGGCGUUUGUGAUUUUGCCUAAAUGAAUCCAGCUUCAAACACCCACUCCUCC